UGACACCUAAUCUCAACACUGACAACCUGAGAGAAGAGCAGGACGAGAGGGGACGGGCUUGGGGGGAGGGAGGGAGGGAGGGCGAGGGGCCCCGCAUUCCUCCCCCUUCCCCCCUCCCCGACCUGCUAUACGCUACAAGGAUGCUCAAAAAACACAGAGGCCCACCCUCACCCUCCUCCACUUCCUUUUAGCAUAAGCUCGCACUCCCGUGUCACCGUGUUUGAUGACACAACACCACACAGGUGCAGAAGACAGUUGGUGUAAAUAAACUUCGUGUUACUGUUUAAUGUAAUAAACAAAAGUGUUACCUAAACUAAGGAGGUUAUGUUGACACAGUUUGUGAGUUAAGGCCACUCUAAAGCUACUUCAAGUUCCACUUAACUUUCCCUUUUUUGUGGUGUGGAUUCCCAACCACUGAAGAAAACCAACAUUGGUCAAUGUCACAUUCUUUCUCAAAAGUGACUAAGUGGGAUUCUCUGUUUGACAUUUUUAGCUCAAAUGGAACUUUUGCUGUUUAUUAUGUGUUGAUUUUUGUAUAUUUGAUCUAAAUGUGAUUAUUUGGGUUUAGCAGUUUCAGGCUAAAACUUCAAGGUGUGGCUAUGGGUUCAGGCGUGAAUACAAGAUUUGUUUGGAUCAUUUUUGCUAAUAUUGUAUGGACACUUUCAUAUAUUUUAAUUGUUAGUCUACAGGAUUAUAUAGGAUUAAACAGAAUAUACUUAUCAUAUCCCAGUUUUAUGACCAGCAUAACACUUUUUUAUGAAAACUGCCUUGCAAGGAUUUUUUUGGUUCUCAUUUUGUGAGCAUGCCCAACUCUUAAAAAUUUCAUCUACACAUUUCAGUUUUUUUUUUAAUAUUUUAAUUUUUUUUUUUAGUCAUACAUUCCUUAUUUCCUAGUGGGGAAAAUGCAGUAAAUGUAAUUACAAAGGUUUUUUGUUUUUUUU